rnacentral:rRNA from 1 species
GAUGAACGCUGGCGGCGUGCCUAAUACAUGCAAGUCGAGCGAACGGACGAGAAGCUUGCUUCUCUGAUGUUAGCGGCGGACGGGUGAGUAACACGUGGAUAACCUACCUAUAAGACUGGGAUAACUUCGGGAAACCGGAGCUAAUACCGGAUAAUAUUUUGAACCGCAUGGUUCAAAAGUGAAAGACGGUCUUGCUGUCACUUAUAGAUGGAUCCGCGCUGCAUUAGCUAGUUGGUAAGGUAACGGCUUACCAAGGCAACGAUGCAUAGCCGACCUGAGAGGGUGAUCGGCCACACUGGAGCUGAGACACGGUCCAGACUCCUACGGGAGGCAGCAGUAUGGAAUCUUCCGCAAUGGGCGAAAGCCUGACGGAGCAACGCCGCGUGAGUGAUGAAGGUCUUCGGAUCGUAAAACUCUGUUAUUAGGGAAGAACAUAUGUGUAAGUAACUGUGCACAUCUUGACGGUACCUAAUCAGAAAGCCACGGCUAACUACGUG